CUGCCCCCUCCUCGCUCCGCGCCGCCCGCCGCGGGGAGGGCGCACUGGGCCGGCGUCACUCCUCCCCCUCCGGACCUGGCGGCGGGCUCCUGCUCUUAUCGCCUCCCCUGACUCUCCCGGGUCCUACUCGCUCUCCUAAUUCUUCUCUGGUCUCUUUCCCUUUCCCCUUCUGCUGGGAGGAGAACUCCCAACCUUGGCAAGGCUCGACUACCCCUUAUUUCAGCAAUUCAUUCUCUGUCCCUUCCAGCAGCCCAUUUCCUAUCCCAGAUCCCCCGCCCCCCCCCUCCCCGCGAGGGGACCCACCCUGCCCCUCCUCCACCUCUGCCGGACCCUGUGGGGGCUGAGUCUUGGGGCAGCGGUGCCCUGGAAGAGCCUCCUUAGCCACGAUCCCCAGUGCCCGAACUGACACCAUCUGUCAACUUCAUUUAGACAGUGCCGCCCUCAGCCACACGCCAGGGUGCCAGACGUCCCAAGCUUGAAUUCUUAUUGGAAGCAACAGACCCCUCACUGUUUCGACUCUGUGGAAAUGAUACUUACUAAGAAGACAUCUUCAGAUUUUCCUGGAUUCUUGAGAGAGCCAAACAGUCAAUUUUUGAAGAGUCUGCAACAUCAGGAACAAACAGCCAACUGUACCACACAACACAGAGAGCCGUCCAUCUUUCCACCACUGUUCAGUACCACGAUGUCAUGCUGUACUAAUGUCCUGAGAUCACCCUGGCCAGACAGGAAACUGUAGUGACAUAUGUGCUGCCUGGUUGCUCAUGGUGCUCAAAAUAUGCCAAACAUCUUUUGACAAGACUUAGUCUGAUGGGCAGGGUCUGGUUGCAUGUAAAACCUCCAGAUGCUGGGGACUGGGAAAGGGAAUUUUAAAUUUCUACCUUGGGAGAUAGAGUUCAUUAUGCAGGAAAUUUCCUGAACAUGAGUGUGGACCAUGAGAAAUGCCUUUCACACUUAGGAAGGAAGGAGAUAAUGAAGAUAAUGGCAGACUCCCUUCUGCAAUAUCAAGUCACUUACAGAAGUAGCGUUUUUUUUUAAAGAGUUAUAAGACAGAGAGACUUAUUAUUUAGAAAACCAUUGAUGUUAUACACACAGACAUAUCAGGAUAUUUUGGGAUUUAAAUUCAGGACCUUAUGCAUGCUAAGCAUAUACUCUACGAUCAAGCUGCCCUCAGUCCCUUAAAUUUAACUUUAAAAAUAUUUAUUUUCAAUUAUGUGCAUUCCUAUAGACGUGUGUCUAUGUAUAGGCAUGCACACCUUAGUGCAGUGCCCAUGCACAUCAUGUUUUAUUCUUUUUCAUUUCCUGUUUUACUGCAUUAGCUAGGUUGUCUAGAUGGCAGUGAAGGAUACUGGAGAUAGUGAAUAUUUUCUUGUCUCCUCUGGUUUAAUGAGAAUAUUCCCAGCAUUUCAUCAAUGGCUUGGAGCUGCAGUUCUAGACAGUUGUGAGCUGUGUGGGUUAUGAAAACAGAACUCCGGUUCUCUGCAAGAGCAGCAAGUGCUCUUAAACACAGAGCUACCUCUCCACUCCUCCAGUAAUUUAGUUUAUAAACUACUAAUUAUUUAUUCACUCAAGUCGGCAUGCUGCUGUGGAAUCAGUGACUGAGUGAGUUUGCCUUAGCUAUUCCUACACCCAUCUCAACUUCUGGUUGGCAAGGAGAUCAUACACAGUAGGAAAAGCCCACAAAUACACAUACCCAACACCAGAAAUUUGAGUUAUCACUGAGAUCCUAUUGAUGGAGCUCAUAUUCUGUCCAGUAUCUAAUGACUGUAAGUCAGUUCUAAUAAACGUCUUUACUUUUUUUCCCCAGAAGUGAAAUUUUGCAACAGGAGAUAGGAAUUAUUCUGCUUUAUUUGUAUUAAGUGGUCAUACCACUUCUUUUGGUGGUAGUAUGAGUUUACAGCUUCACAGCCAUGGUUAAGGAAGGACCUAUUUUAUGACAUUUUUUCAACCUUAUUUCAGAAUAAAAGUGGUAUUUCAUGAUUGGUUAAAUCUGAAUUUUUAAAAAUGAUCAACUGUUGGGAAGCAGUCCAAGAAUGGAGUCCUAUGAGGAGAAUUCCGAGUGCAUGUGAGAAAACACCAGGAAAAUAAGACAAGAAUCUUGUGACCUCAGUUUUUCAAAACAUGAAAUUGUUCUUGGAAUGUUUUCAUGCUCCUCCCAGGUGUAGCAGAUUCAAUUAAGUGUUUUUAUGUCUCUAUGGAAAAAUAUAUUUUUUGCCAUGAGUAUACUGUGAAUAUGUGUUGCUACCAUUGGUUAAUAAAGAAGCUGCAAGCCGGGCGGUGGUGGCGCACGCCUUUAAUCCCAGCACUCGGGAGGCAGAGGCAGGCGGAUCUCUGUGAGUUCGAGGCCAGCCCGGGCUACCAAGUGAGUCCCAGGAAAGGCGCAAAGCUACACAGAGAAACCCUGUCUCGAAAAACCAAAAAAAAAAAAAAAAAAGAAGCUGCUUUGGCCUAGGGCAGGACAUAUUAGAGCCAGGCAGGAAAUCCAAACAAAGAUACAGGGAGAAGAAAAGUGGAGUCAGGGAAGACACUGUGGGUCGCUGGGGGAGCAAGAUGUGAUGGAACACAGGUAAAACCAUGAGACAUGUGGUGAUACACAGAUUAAUAGAAAUGGAUUAAUUCAAGAUAAAAGAGCUAGUUAGCAAUGAGCCUGAGCCAUAGACCAAACAGUUUGUAAUUAAUAUAAGUCUCUAUGUGUUUAUUUGGGACUUAACGCUGUGGGACACAGGAAAACUUUCAGCUACAGCCACAUGUGGCUUGUCUUUGUGAUUAUAUAUGGCUUGAACUCAUAAGAACUUUACUCAUUUGAUUCUUCUCAACCCUCAGAGUAUAAAUUGUCUGAUACUGUGAAUAAAGUUGGCUAUUGCAUGAGA